rnacentral:rRNA from 1 species
UACGUAGGGUGCAAGCGUUAAUCGGAAUUACUGGGCGUAAAGCGUGCGCAGGCGGUUCGCUAAGACAGAUGUGAAAUCCCCGGGCUUAACCUGGGAACUGCAUUUGUGACUGGCGGGCUAGAGUAUGGCAGAGGGGGGUAGAAUUCCACGUGUAGCAGUGAAAUGCGUAGAGAUGUGGAGGAAUACCGAUGGCGAAGGCAGCCCCCUGGGCCAAUACUAACGCUCAUGCACGAAAGCGUGGGGAGCAAACAGG